GACGUAGGGCGCGAGCGUUGUCCGGAUUUAUUGGGCGUAAAGCGCUCGUAGGCGGCUUGUCGCGUCGACUGUGAAAACCCGUGGCUCAACCAUGUGGUCUGCAGUCGAUACGGGCAGGCUAGAAUUCGGUAGGGGAGACUGGAAUUCCUGGUGUAGCGGUGAAAUGCGCAGAUAUCAGGAGGAACACCAGCGGCGAAGGCGGCGCUCUGGGCCGGAACUGACGCUGAGGAGCGAAAGCGUGGGUAGCAAACAGG
rnacentral:rRNA from 1 species